UAUUGGACAAUGGGGGCAACCCUGAUACAGCCAUGCCGCUAGUGUGAAGAAGGUCAUCUGAUUUUAAAGCACUUGAAGUGGGGAGGAAGGGCUUUAGGUUAAUACCCUGAAUCUUUGACGUUACCAACAGAAUAAGCAUCUGCUAACUCUUUGCCAUCUGCCGCGGUAAUACAGAGGGUGCAAACGUUAACCGGAAUUACUGGGCGUAAAGCGCGCGUAGGUGGUUAAGUAAGUGGGGUGUGAAACCCCCGGGCUUAACCUGGGAACUGCUUUCAUAACUGCUGAGCUAGAAUACGGUAGAGGGUAGUGGAAUUUCCUGUGUAGCGGUGAAAUGCGUAGAUAUAGGAAGGAACACCAGUGGCGAAGGCGACUACCUGGACUGAUACUGACACUGAGGUGCGAAAGCGUGGGGAGCAAAC
rnacentral:rRNA from 1 species